rnacentral:rRNA from 1 species
UACGUAGGGGGCGAGCGUUGUCCGGAAUCAUUGGGCGUAAAGCGCGUGUAGGCGGCUCGGUAAGUCCGGUGUGAAACCUUGGGGCUCAACCCCAAGCCUGCACUGGAUACUGUCGAGCUCGAGUCCGGGAGGGGAGAGCGGAAUCCUAGUGUAGCGGUGAAAUGCGCAGAUAUUAGGAAGAACACCGGUGGCGAAGGCGGCUCUCUGGAACGGUACUGACGCUGAGACGCGAAAGCGUGGGAGCGAACGAGG